rnacentral:rRNA from 1 species
GAGUAUAAAGUUAAUUUAAUAAAACUUUCAACAACGGAUCUCUUGGUUCUGGCAUCGAUGAAGAACGCAGCGAAAUGCGAUAAGUAAUGUGAAUUGCAGAAUUCAGUGAAUCAUCGAAUCUUUGAACGCACAUUGCGCCCCCUGGUAUUCCGGGGGGCAUGCCUGUUCGAGCGUCAUUUCACCACUCAAGCCUCGCUUGGUAUUGGGCGUCGCGAGUCUCUCGCGCGCCUUAAAGUCUCCGGCUGUUUGACCCGUCUCCCAGCGUUGUGGCAACUAUCUCGCAGUGGAGUUCGAGUCGGAUUGGCCGUUAAAUCUUUCAAAGGUUGACCUCGGAUCAGGUAGGGAUACCCGCUGAACUUAAGCAUAUCAAUAAGCGGAGGAAAAGAAACCAACAGGGAUUGCCCUAGUAACGGCGAGUGAAGCGGCAACAGCUCAAAUUUGAAAUCUGGCGCAAGCCCGAGUUGUAAUUUGUAGAGGAUGCUUCUAGGUAGCGACCGGUCUAAGUUCCUUGGAACAGGACGUCAUAGAGGGUGAGAAUCCCGUAUGUGACCGGCCCGCACCUUCUACGUAGCUCCUUCGACGAGUCGAGUUGUUUGGGAAUGCAGCUCUAAAUGGGAGGUAAAUUUCUUCUAAAGCUAAAUACCGGCCAGAGACCGAUAGCGCACAAGUAGAGUGAUCGAAAGAUGAAAAGCACUUUGGAAAGAGAGUUAAAAAGCACGUGAAAUUGUUGAAAGGGAAGCGCUCACAACCAGACUUYUAGGCAGUGUUCCGCCGGUCUUUUGACCGGUCUACUCUCUGUCUCGAGGCCAACAUCAUCUGGGACCGCCGGAUAAGACCUUAGGA